rnacentral:rRNA from 1 species
AACGUAGGUGGCGAGCGUUAUCCGGAUUUACUGGGCGUAAAGCGUGUGCAGGCGGUGGUUCAAGUGGUGUAUGAAAUCGCCCGGCUUAACCGGGCGAGGGUAGGCCAGACUGAACAACUGGAGUGCGGGAGAGGGGCGUGGAAUUCCGGGUGUAGUGGUGAAAUGCGUAGAGAUCCGGAGGAACCCCAGCGGCGAAGGCGGCGCCCUGGCCCGUAACUGACGCUCAGACACGACAGCAUGGGGAG